GGGGUUGUAGCUCAGUGGUAGAGUGCUCACCUAGCAUGUGUGAGGCACUGGGUUCGAUCCUCGGCAUCACAU
rfam:Ictidomys tridecemlineatus contig019995, whole genome shotgun sequence.